ensembl:snoRNA small nucleolar RNA SNORA65
CCUGCCACUAUGUCUGUCUGUCAUAGUGACUGCAUAUAAUCCAGUGGAGGCUUAAAUGGACACAGCUCUAGGAAGCAGUGCUGUCUAAUUAAAUGGGCAACCCUGUGCCAAAAGGCCUGGAACAGUG